CAUUUUCAAAUUAUUUCUUUUUUUUUUUUCUCACUGCAGCAGAAAGGGACAGCAGUGCUUUGCUGCUGUCAGAAAGCUUGAAAAUUCCAUGUAAAGGAACAACCAGGGCAGACAGCUGUGCACAUUUAUACUUGGCUUACUGAGAAAGACCUGCAAUUACUGAAGUCUGAUACCCACUACUUAUCAGCAAUGCGCAGAAGCAGAAGUAAAUCUUCCAUUGAAAUGCAGGGUUGGAUAUUUGCUCCUCUUAAGAGAUGUGAUAUUUUCUGUUGUGAUUAAUUAUAUCUUCUUUAUAAUAAGUUUGUGUAUUUUACUGCGAUUUUGAUGAAAUAAGCCAAUCACGAUCUAACAUGAAGAC
rnacentral:lncRNA from 1 species